rnacentral:tRNA from 1 species
GAGGGUAUAGCUCAAGUUGUAGAGCACAUGCUUAGCAUGCACGAAGUCGUGGGUUCAAUCCCAGUACCUCCU